rnacentral:rRNA from 1 species
UAAUACGAAGGGGGCUAGCGUUGUUCGGAUUUACUGGGCGUAAAGCGCGUGUAGGCGGGUCGUUAAGUUGGGGGUGAAAUCCCGAGGCUCAACCUCGGAACUGCCUCCAAAACUGGCGACCUGGAGCAAGAUAGAGGCGAGUGGAAUUCCGAGUGUAGAGGUGAAAUUCGUAGAUAUUCGGAGGAACACCAGUGGCGAAGGCGACUCGCUGGAUCUUUGCUGACGCUGAGACGCGAAAGCGUGGGGAGCAAACAGGAUUAGAUACCCUGGUAGUCCACGCUGUAAACGAUGAGAGCUAGUUGUCGGCACGCAUGCGUGUCGGUGACGCAGCUAACGCAUUAAGCUCUCCGCCUGGGGAGUACGGCCGCAAGGUUA